rnacentral:rRNA from 1 species
CCUACGGGUGGCAGCAGUGGGGAAUAUUGGGCAAUGGGCGCAAGCCUGACCCAGCCACGCCGCGUGAAGGAAGACGGCUCUCGGGUUGUAAACUUCUUUUGUCAGGGAAGAGUAGAAGACGGUACCUGACGAAUAAGCCACAGCUAACUACGUGCCAGCAGCCGCGGUCAUACGGAGGUGGCAGGCGUUGUCCGGAUUUACUGGGUGUAAAGGGCGUGUAGGCGGGUUGACAAGUCAGAUGUGAAAUCCUGCGGCUUAACCGCAGAACUGCAUUUGAUACUGUUGAUCUUGAGUACUGUAGAGGUAGGCGGAAUGUCUGGUGGAGCGGUGAAAUGCGUAGAUAUCAUGAGGAACACCUGUUGCGAAGGCGGUCUGCUGGACUGCAACUGACGUUGAGGCGCGAAAGCGUGGGGAGCAAACAGGAUUAGAUACCCGUGUAGUC